CAGUAGCCGCGGUAAUACGUAGGUGGCAAGCGUUGUCCGGAAUUAUUGGGCGUAAAGGGCUCGCAGGCGGUUUCUUAAGUCUGAUGUGAAAGCCCACGGCUCAACCGUGGAGGGUCAUUGGAAACUGUUAAACUUGAGUGCAGGAGAGAAAAGUGGAAUUCCUAGUGUAGCGGUGAAAUGCGUAGAGAUUAGGAGGAACACCAGUGGCGAAGGCGGCUUUUUGGCCUGUAACUGACACUGAGGCGCGAAAACGUGGGGAGCAAACAGGAUUAGAUACCCGUGUAGUCCCUGUCUCUUAUAA
rnacentral:rRNA from 1 species